UGGGGAAUAUUGCGCAAUGGGCGAAAGCCUGACGCAGCGACGCCGCGUGAGGGAUGAAGGUUUUCGGAUCGUAAACCUCUGUCAGAAGGGAAGAAACCGCACUGUGCUAAUCAGCAGUGCCUUGACGGUACCUUCAAAGGAAGCACCGGCUAACUCCGUGCCAGCAGCCGCGGUAAUACGGAGGGUGCAAGCGUUAAUCGGAAUUACUGGGCGUAAAGCGCACGUAGGCUGCUUUGUAAGUCAGGGGUGAAAUCCCACGGCUCAACUGUGGAACUGCCUUUGAUACUGCUUAGCUUGAAUCCGGGAGAGGGUGGCGGAAUUCCAGGUGUAGGAGUGAAAUCCGUAGAUAUCUGGAGGAACAUCAGUGGCGAAGGCGGCCACCUGGACCGGUAUUGACGCUGAGGUGCGAAAGCGUGGGGAGCAAACAGG
rnacentral:rRNA from 1 species